UGACCGCAGCAAGCAUGCAAAUGUGACGCAGGAGGGAACGCAUUUAAAUCGCGAUUUAACAUGCAAAAUGGGUCUAUGCUUUCGUAGAAAUAAAACGCAUGCCAGGGCAUUAAAAUGCAGACCUCCCCAGCCAAAGUAUUUAGCUGGUUUGACGUCUUCGGUUCGGAAAACGUAAAUUUUUACAGGAAAAAAUGUCGGUAAGAAGCUAUUUGGACAUCAAACCUGGCACCCUGAAAGUUGGGAGUCAGCCUACUUGUGGGCUGAAGCUCCUAUUACUCAGCGUUGGUUCCCUAACCCACCCAGGUGUCAUGACUGAUGUCUCCUGUCUGUCGCUCCAAAGAGCUUGACUUUUUCUGACUGGAUCAAAAGUGGGUGAAGAAGAAUGAUUAAAGGUAACAUUAAUUACUUAAGGACUGAUUAAGACCAGGACAAAUUUGAAAGUAGAAACUCAUUGCUCUCAUUAAAUAUGAUUAAGAAUAGAUGCGGCAAUAGACUGUCCAGUUUUAUGUGGGUUGGGAUGCUGUGCCAAUGAUCAGAAAGUUGCUGGUUUAAAUCCUGUGGUUGGCAGAGUGAUUUCACUUUUGGUCUUAUGGGCUUGAAUCAAAGGUAACUGGACUUUACUGCUGGGACCUUGAACAAAGCCCAUAACCCCCAAUAAUCCCUGGGAUUGGUUGACCCUGUUCUUUAAUCUCCAAUCGUAUCACUUUGGGUAAAACAGUCUAUGAAGUUGUUAAUGCAAAAGGUGAAUGUAGAGAACACUCAAGUACAACUUUUUGUACGGAUGCCCUAGUAGAAAAAUCCAA